rnacentral:rRNA from 1 species
AUGAACGCUAGCUACAGGCUUAACACAUGCAAGUCGAGGGGCAGCAUGGUCUUAGCUUGCUAAGGCCGAUGGCGACCGGCGCACGGGUGAGUAACACGUAUCCAACCUGCCGUCUACUCUUGGACAGCCUUCUGAAAGGAAGAUUAAUACAAGAUGGCAUCAUGAGUCCGCAUGUUCACAUGAUUAAAGGUAUUCCGGUAGACGAUGGGGAUGCGUUCCAUUAGAUAGUAGGCGGGGUAACGGCCCACCUAGUCUUCGAUGGAUAGGGGUUCUGAGAGGAAGGUCCCCCACAUUGGAACUGAGACACGGUCCAAACUCCUACGGGAGGCAGCAGUGAGGAAUAUUGGUCAAUGGGCGAGAGCCUGAACCAGCCAAGUAGCGUGAAGGAUGACUGCCCUAUGGGUUGUAAACUUCUUUUAUAAAGGAAUAAAGUCGGGUAUGGAUACCCGUUUGCAUGUACUUUAUGAAUAAGGAUCGGCUAACUCCGUGCCAGCAGCCGCGGUAAUACGGAGGAUCCGAGCGUUAUCCGGAUUUAUUGGGUUUAAAGGGAGCGUAGAUGGAUGUUUAAGUCAGUUGUGAAAGUUUGCGGCUCAACCGUAAAAUUGCAGUUGAUACUGGAUAUCUUGAGUGCAGUUGAGGCAGGCGGAAUUCGUGGUGUAGCGGUGAAAUGCUUAGAUAUCACGAAGAACUCCGAUUGCGAAGGCAGCCUGCUAAGCUGCAACUGACAUUGAGGCUCGAAAGUGUGGGUAUCAAACAGGAUUAGAUACCCUGGUAGUCCACACGGUAAACGAUGAAUACUCGCUGUUUGCGAUAUACAGCAAGCGGCCAAGCGAAAGCGUUAAGUAUUCCACCUGGGGAGUACGCCGGCAACGGUGAAACUCAAAGGAAUUGACGGGGGCCCGCACAAGCGGAGGAACAUGUGGUUUAAUUCGAUGAUACGCGAGGAACCUUACCCGGGCUUAAAUUGCAGAUGAAUUACGGUGAAAGCCGUAAGCCGCAAGGCAUCUGUGAAGGUGCCGAAUCGUUGUCGUCAGCUCGUGCCGUGAGGUGUCGGCUUAAGUGCCAUAACGAGCGCAACCCUUGUUGUCAGUUACUAACAGGUUCUGCUGAGGACUCUGACAAGACUGCCAUCGUAAGAUGUGAGGAAGGUGGGGAUGACGUCAAAUCAGCACGGCCCUUACGUCCGGGGCUACACACGUGUUACAAUGGGGGGUACAGAGGGCCGCUACCACGCGAGUGGAUGCCAAUCCCAAAAACCUCUCUCAGUUCGGACUGGAGUCUGCAACCCGACUCCACGAAGCUGGAUUCGCUAGUAAUCGCGCAUCAGCCACGGCGCGGUGAAUACGUUCCCGGGCCUUGUACACACCGCCCGUCACACCACGAAAGUUGGUAACACCCGAAGCCGGUGAGGUAACCUAUAAGGAGCCAGCCGUCUAAGGUGGGGCCGAUGAUUGGGGUG